GUUAAUUUGGAAAUAUACUUUCUAUUCCGUGACUGACUCUUCUUUAUAACUGACAUCAUAUCAAUGAGAAACUUAGCAACUGACACUGGUACUUCCAUGCUUAGUGAAAGAAAAGGGGGUGAUUCGUAUGACAAUCAAAGCCAGACUAAAGGGUGAGAUGGCUGGACAAUCGCCAGUCCAUACAGAGAGUCCAUCAUCACUGGGAUAAAUCAGAACCAUGUUGUCCUUAACUAUGUUUCCACAGGUGACUGGUUACACAGUUGGAGGAAUGUAAAUUACUCUGGUUCUGCUCCACAGGACAAGACACUGGCUUGGAGUGGAAACCGAAAACAAAACAUUGUUCCCUGGCACAGAGGUUAUUUUUUAAUCACUGUGCCACUAGCCCAGUGGCGUGACCCAUGGAGGUGAAUUAGCAGCCCAUGUGACAGUGUUUUUGUGAAUCUGAAGAGGAUUAAUAAAGUUUGUGUGGUUCUUUGAGCUGUACUGAUGAAAGCUCGGGGGCAUUCUAGAAACUUCAGAUUUCUGGCUGGAAAAUGAAGACAGUUUCACAAGAUUUCGUUCAUUCUCCAGAUAGUCCAGGGACAUUUUAGAAACUUCCAAAUUCUGUGAAGAAGUGAAACACAUUCUUUCGUAGCAACAGGGUGGAUCAGCCUUGGUGUUUCUUAUCUUUAUUGCUGUUACCAAAUGUAAUAAAAGUUGGCUAAUUAGGAUGUGCUACUGAUGUGAUCCAGAAAGUUUUCAGCUCCUAAAGAAGUUGCCAGAAGAGGGGGAACCUCCUUGUUGUGUACCAGCUUGGAAGCAGAAUGCCAGCCCUCCUUCGGGGUGA